GAUGUCUGGAUAACUGUGGCAAUUCUAGAGCUAAUACAUGCAAUCAAGCUCCAACCUUCGUGGGACGAGCGCUCUUAUUAGACCAAGGCCAACCUGCUGGGCAACUGGCAGUUAGCUGUGGUGACUCUGGAUAAACACAGUUGAUCGCACGACUUUACGUCGGCGACGUAUCUUUCAAGCGUAUGCCCUAUCAGCUGUCGACGGUAGGGUAGCGGCCUACCGUGGCAUCAACGGGUAACGGGGGAUCAGGGUCCGAUCCCGGAGAGUAAGCCUGAGAGACGGCUUACACAUCUAAGGAAGGCAGCAGGCGCGCAAAUUACCCAAUGGGGAAACCCUGAGGUAGUGACAAGAAAUAACAAUACGCGACUCUUUCGAGGCCGCGUAAUUGGAAUGAGCACAGUCUAAAUCCUUUAGCGAGGAUCAAUUGGAGGGCAAGUCUGGUGCCAGCAG
rnacentral:rRNA from 1 species